UUUUAGGUAGUAUAGUGGUUAGUUUUCGUACCUGUCAAGGUUCUACUCUAGAUUGCGUGAGACCGGGGUUCAAUCCCCUGCCUGAGAG